AGCAAUCUGCCUUGGAGUGGGGAAUAACGGCUGGAAACAGCCGCUAAUACCGCAUGAUACAGCUGGGAGGCAUCUCCCUGGCUGUCAAAGAUUUAUCGCUCUGAGAUGAGCUCGCGUCUGAUUAGCUAGUUGGCGGGGUAACGGCCCACCAAGGCGACGAUCAGUAGCCGGACUGAGAAGUUGGCCGGCCACAUUGGGACUGAGACACGGCCCAGACUCCUACGGGAGGCAGCAG
rnacentral:rRNA from 1 species